rnacentral:rRNA from 1 species
UAGCGUAUAUGUAAAUUGUUGCGGUUGAAAAGCUCGUAGUUGGACUUCUGGCGUCCGCAUUCUGUCCACCUCGCGUGAUGACGGUUUGCGRGCGUCGUUUUGUCGACGGUGCGUGUCGGACUUCACUGGCCGGUGCGCUCUCUGUCGGCGACGUUACUUUGAGGAAAUCAGAGUGCUCAAAGCAAGCGUUUGCUCGUGACUUCACUAGCAUGGAAUAACACAGAUGGGCUCUUUUUCGCAACGUUGGUCUGCGUCAACUGAGCAACGAUCGAUAGAGACGGUCGGGGGCAUUCGUAUUGCGCAGUUAGAGGUGAAAUUCUCCGAUCUGCGCAAGACGCACUAAUGCGAAAGCAGUUGCCAAGGACGUUCUCUUAUGAUCAAGAGCGAAAGUCGGGGGAUCAAAGAUGAUUAGAUACCGUCGUAGUCCCGACCAUAAAUGAUGCCAACUGAGCGUCGGCGACGCGGCUGUCAGCCGGACGUCGGCGCUCUUGAGAGAAAUUAAAGUCUUUGGGCUCCGGGGGUAGUAUGGUCGCAAGUCUGAAACUUGAAGGAAUUGACGGAAGGGCACCACAAGGCGUGGAUGUUGCGGCUUAAUUUGACUCAACACGGGAAAGCUUACUAGGUUUGGACACUUGAAUGAGGGACAUAUUGAAGCUCUUACCUUUUUUUGUGGAUGGUGGUGCAUGGUCGUUCUCAGCCCGUGGGUUGACCUGUCAGGUUUACUCCGGUAACGCGCGAGACCUCGGUUUGCUAAAUAGACACGGCUGUUUCGGCACCCGUGCUCUUCUUAGAGAGAGUCUUGACGAGAGUUGAGGGAAGUCGAGGCAAUAACAGAUCUGUGAUGCCCUUAGUUAUCCUAGGUCGCACGCGCCAUACAAUGUGGCGCACAACGAGUCUCCUAGGCCGACAGGAAUUCUCGUCGACGGC